GCCAGUAUACGCUAUAUAUAAACUGUUUCAAAAAUCCCAUAAAUAAAUGAAUGUUUUUGAAACAUUCAUAUCCCUAUGAUUUCUGUUGAAAUGUGAGAGACCUGUGUAGAUAGAUGCCCCUAGGGCUUCAUUUUUUACCUGUUGGGGCAAAUGAAGGAAUCAAGUCUGACCUGAAUGAGAUGAUUGCAAUACUCAGGCCUGACUGAAUUGGACAACCAAUUCUUAGGAGGAAUUUAGCAAACAUUGGUGGUGCUAAACAGGCUUUUCUUGCUCUCAAAGUGUUUUUCUUAACUCUUCGAUUAGGACUUGACCAAGACCUGACAGACAGGUCCUGAGCUCUGGUGACACAUAGACACCUGACUCCUUGGUAUCAGUUUAGGAGGUCCCUCACUUCCUGGGGAGCAGUAAAUAAGGCUUCUCCCUCUAUAAACAAGCUGCUUGGGUUAAGGAAAGCACCCUUAAGCACCUGUUACUGUUUCCAAACUUCCCUAGCCAUGCCCACAUCCAAACCUCUAAGCCUCAGAACCCUCACCACAAUACUGCAAAUAAACUGAUUUUAUUUAUUCCUAAUAGGCAGAUACUUAAUAUCCACUUCCUCCCAUCACUGACUAGUGUCACUUGUGUUCUGAUGUUCUGGACCUAGUAAUAUUUACCUUGUCUUUUUUCUGUUGAAGAAGCUGCCAAAUCCUUGGGAGGAGAAGGACACCGAGGGGGGGGCAUUUAAAAGUCUCCCUAAAAGAAACUACAAAGCUAACAGUCUCUGAGGUCCAGAGUCUUCGUGGGACUAUCCAGGAAAAGAUGACAAAAAUCUCUUCACAUGAUUGUCCAGGAAAAGCUUUUCUUGAGUCCCACUGUGAACACAAAGUUGUGCCCAUGAUCCUGCUGUGGUGUCUUCCCAGAAGAGUGGAGCUCAAGGGAGACUGGGAAUGGAAGAAGCAAGAAGUUCUGACAAUACCAAUUGUUUAGGUCUAGGAUCCAUUGAGGUAGCCUGGUGGAUAAAAGGAAGCCUAACAAUGUGAGUUAAUCCUCAGGACCCACAUGGUGGAAGGAGAGAACCAGCUCUCACGAGUUAUCCUCUUCACAUAAGCUCUGAAACAUGUGAAACAUGCGGAACACGUGCCCCUUCCCCCCACCGCUGCUGUCCCACCACCACACAGCACCCUUGUAGGAGACAGACACGGCAGACUGACACAGCUGUUGUGACCACACUCCCCAUGCCUGGCUGAGGGCCAUUUGAGUCUGGAGAUGAAGAGCAUUGUGGAGAAAUUUUUCUCUGCAGAAAAGUUCCCAAGUCAAUACUGCCAGCUUUCCCCUUGGUCCCCCACCCUCACCCCUUGGAGCUGAGGCCUGAAC
rnacentral:lncRNA from 1 species